rnacentral:lncRNA from 1 species
AUUUCUUCAAGCUUCAAAUGUGAUAUCCAAGAAUGGGUGAAUAAUGUCAGUAUUAUCUGGAUAAACACCAAAAAAUAAUAAACAGUCACUUCUUAUCAUCAUACAGCAUAUGCCUUGUGUUCUUCAGAUAUUGCUAUUGUCUAUAGAUUUUAAUGGCACAUGGGAUGCAUGUACAAUUGUUGUUCUCUGCCUCAUAUUACAUGAAAAGAGCAUUCUAUGUGAUACAUCUUAUCAUUCUUUUCGUCUAUUUCAUCGUCUGGUCGCCAGAAGCAGUUCUGUGGACAUACAAAAAACGACAUUAUUUAUAAGAUGACCUGAUAUUUUUAAAAGGUUGUUAUAAAAUGUAUAAUUAUAUGACAUUAACAUUUGCAAUCUAUACUAUUAACAAUUGGCAAUAAAAACUUUUUAAAAAUAAACAGCAUCUUCUAAUAAAUCCACACAACUUGAUGUCAAGUUGGGCAGCUUACAAGAUUUUUUUUUAAAAUGUGUAAUUUUUACAUGCUAUUAAUAACUGAAUAUAAAUAUAUUAAAAUUUUAAGAGUAGCUCUGCCCAGUUUGAUGUACAUAAUAUCCAAUAAUAAAAGUAGCAUAUAAUUCAAUAAAUUCUAACAUUUAAU